rnacentral:rRNA from 1 species
GAUGAACGCUGGCGGCGUGCCUAAUACAUGCAAGUCGAGCGAACAGACGAGGAGCUUGCUCCUCUGACGUUAGCGGCGGACGGGUGAGUAACACGUGGAUAACCUACCUAUAAGACUGGGAUAACUUCGGGAAACCGGAGCUAAUACCGGAUAAUAUAUUGAACCGCAUGGUUCAAUAGUGAAAGACGGUUUUGCUGUCACUUAUAGAUGGAUCCGCGCCGCAUUAGCUAGUUGGUAAGGUAACGGCUUACCAAGGCGACGAUGCGUAGCCGACCUGAGAGGGUGAUCGGCCACACGGAAACGGAGACACGGCCCAGACUCCUACGGGAGGCAGCAGUGGGAAAUCUUCCGCAAUGGGCGAAAGCCUGACGGAGCAACGCCGCGUGAGUGAUGAAGGUCUUCGGAUCGUAAAACUCUGUUAUUGGGGAAGAACAAAUGUGUAAGUAACUAUGCACGUCCUGACGGUACCUAAUCAGAAAGCCACGGCUAACUACGU